rnacentral:rRNA from 1 species
AUUGAACGCUGGCGGCAGGCUUAACACAUGCAAGUCGAGCGGGGAAGGGUAGCUUGCUACCUGACCUAGCGGCGGACGGGUGAGUAAUGCUUAGGAAUCUGCCUAUUAGUGGGGGACAACAUUCCGAAAGGAAUGCUAAUACCGCAUACGCCCUACGGGGGAAAGCAGGGGAUCUUCGGACCUUGCGCUAAUAGAUGAGCCUAAGUCAGAUUAGCUAGUUGGUGGGGUAAAGGCCUACCAAGGCGACGAUCUGUAGCGGGUCUGAGAGGAUGAUCCGCCACACUGGGACUGAGACACGGCCCAGACUCCUACGGGAGGCAGCAGUGGGGAAUAUUGGACAAUGGGCGAAAGCCUGAUCCAGCCAUGCCGCGUGUGUGAAGAAGGCCUUUUGGUUGUAAAGCACUUUAAGCGAGGAGGAGGCUGCCGAGAUUAAUACUCUUGGAUAGUGGACGUUACUCGCAGAAUAAGCACCGGCUAACUCUGUGCCAGCAGCCGCGGUAAUACAGAGGGUGCGAGCGUUAAUCGGAUUUACUGGGCGUAAAGCGUGCGUAGGCGGCUUUUUAAGUCGGAUGUGAAAUCCCUGAGCUUAACUUAGGAAUUGCAUUCGAUACUGGGAAGCUAGAG